rnacentral:misc_RNA from 1 species
GAAAUGCGAUAAGUAAUGUGAAUUGCAGAAUUCAGUGAAUCAUCGAAUCUUUGAACGCACAUUGCGCCCUUUGGUAUUCCGGAGGGCAUGCCCGUUCGAGCGUCAUUACACCACUCAAGCCUGGCUUGGUAUUGGGCGACGGGGCCUGUCCCCGCGCCCCCAUUUCGUCGGUUGGACGGUUGGAAUCUCAGCGUUGUGAAUCAAUUCGCUUUGAUGAAGGCCGGCCGCGCCGUUAAAACCCCCAUUUCAUUCAGGUUGACCUCGGAUCGGGUAGGGAUACCCGCUGAACUUAAGC